rnacentral:tRNA from 1 species
GAAGGUAUAGCUCACUGGUAGAGUGCAUGCCUAGCAUGCACGAGGCCCUGAGUUCAAUCCCUAGUACCUCCA